rnacentral:rRNA from 1 species
AUGGUUCUCUUGAGCGAUAUAAAGAUCGUCUUGUGGCCUCGUGGUUUUCAGCAGGAGCAUGGCCAUGAUUACGAUGAGACAUUCGCUCCUGUGGCCCAUAUGACCACUAUCCGCACACUUCUCGUUGUAGCCUCUAUUCGUCAUUGGUCCGUGUCUCAGCUUGAUGUUAAGAAUGCCUUUCUUAACGGUGAGUUGCGUGAGGAGGUUUAUAUGCAACCACCACCUGGGUAUUCUGUUCCUGAUGGCAUGGUUUGUCGUCUUCGUCGCUCUCUCUACGGUCUCAAGCAAGCCCCUCGCGCUUGGUUUGAGCGUUUUGCCUCUGUGGUGACUGCAGCUGGUUUUUCUCCCAGUGCUCAUGAUCCAGCGUUGUUUGUCCACCUUUCCGCUCGUGGUCGCACUCUUCUUCUUCUAUAUGUUGAUGACAUGAUCAUCACUGGCGACGAUCUUGAGUAC